CACACUGCCACUAACACUGUGACCUCUGCCUCUGCUAGAUUGUUAAAAAUAUACAAACAUAAAAAUGAACACAAAUAUUUUUCUAAUUGUUUUAUUCCUCCUGUUGUAUUGGAUGUUGUAUUUGGACUAACGGAAGCCAAGGCGCACUUAGUCCCAGGAGGUCUUCUAUGGAGCCGGAACAUGGAGCAGGGAAGCAAGCAAGAAAAAAAAAGAAAUGACACUUGGGGCAGAGCCCCUUGAUGGACAAACAGAGCAUCCCAUAAUGGAUGGAGAAGCCCCUUGAUGGCCCAGCAGCAGCAGCCUCUGGAUGUAUACUGGGGCAAAUCCACUGGAUGGACUUGACAGAUCAGCCCCUUGACAGAGCAGCACCUGGAGGACACAGCAGCCCUUAUAUGAGGACACAACAGCCACUUGGAUGACACAGCAGUCCCUAAAUGUGUGCCCACAGCAGCCCCUAAAUGUGAGCCCACAGCAGCCCCUUAGAUGACAUAGCAGCCCCUAAAUAUGAGCUUAUUUUUGUUGGGAGCAAAUUGACCCAUCAGUGUAUUUUUGGACUGUGGGAGGAAACCAAAAGUACCCAGAGAAAACCCACACAGGUACGGGGAGAAUAUACAAACUCCACACAGUUAGGGCCAUGGUGGGAAUUGAACCCAUGACCUCACUGCUGUGAGGCAGUAAUACUAACCAUUACACCAUCCGUAUGGAAUUGAGAAGACACUGGAGAAUUUUUAUAUGCGCAGUAUUGCAAACAGGAUACCGGAAGUGGGGUGAAAGUAAUGCGGUCAGGGCGGGGACAGAAAGUACCUUUAU